CCCUUAGAUGUUCUGGGCUGCACGCGCGCUACACUGAUGCACUCAACGAGUUUACGACCUUGCCCGAUAGGGUUGGGUAAUCUUUUUAAAAUGCAUCGUGAUGGGGAUAGAUUAUUGCAAUUAUUAAUCUUCAACGAGGAAUUCCUAGUAAGCGCGAGUCAUCAGCUCGUGCUGAUUACGUCCCUGCCCUUUGUACACACCGCCCGUCGCUCCUACCGAUUGAGUGCUCAGGUGAAUAAUUCGGACUGCAGCAAUGUUUGGAACCCGAACGUUGCAGCGGAAAGUUUAGUGAACCUUAUCACUUAGAGGAAGGAGAAGUCGUAACA
rnacentral:rRNA from 1 species